rnacentral:rRNA from 2 species
GGACUACUAGGGUUUCUAAUCCCGUUUGCUCCCCUGGCUUUCGCGCCUCAGCGUCAGAAGGGGUCCAGCGCGCCGCUUUCGCCACCGGUGUUCCUUCCGAUAUCUACGCAUUUCACCGCUCCACCGGAAGUUCCGCACGCCCCUACCCCCCUCGAGGCCGGCAGUAUCAAAGGCGCUUCCGCGGUUGAGCCGCGGGCUUUCACCCCUGACUUGCCGGCCCGCCUACGCGCCCUUUAAGCCCAGUGAUUCCGAACAACGUUAGCACGGUUCGUCUUACCGCGGCGGCUGGCAC